AGUCACUGACAUUAGAUACCCCGGUAGUCCCAGCCGUAAACAAUGUGCGUUAGGUGUGUCGGUAACCACGUGUUACUGAUGCGCCGAAGAGAAAUCGUGAAACGCACCACCUGGGAAGUACGGUCGCAAGGCUGAAACUUAAAGGAAUUGCGGGGAGCACCACAACAGGUGGAGCCUGCGGUUUAAUUGGAUUCAACGCCGGACAUCUCACCGGAUAAGACAGCUGAAUGAUUGUCAAUCUGAAGGUUUUACAUGACUAGCUG
rnacentral:rRNA from 1 species